rnacentral:snRNA from 1 species
GUGCUCGCUUCGGCAGCACAUAUACUAAAAUUGGAACGAUACAGAGAAGAUUAGCAUGGCUCCUGCACAAGGAUGACACACAAAUUCGUGAAGCGUUCCAUAUUUUU